rnacentral:rRNA from 1 species
ACGGCUCAGUAACACGUGGCUAACCUACCCUUAGGACGGGGACAACCCCGGGAAACUGGGGCUAACAUCUGAUAGGUGAGGAGGCCUGGAAUGGUUCCUCCCUGAAAAGGCGUUGAAACCAUGCUUUUCAGCGUCGCCUAAGGAUGGGGCCGCGCCCGAUCAGGUUGUUGGUGGGGUAACGGCUCACCAAGCCAUUAACCGGUACGGGCCGUGAGAGCGGGAGCCCGGAGAUGGGCACUGAGACAAGGGCCCAGGCCCUACGGGGCGCAGCAGUCGCGAAAACUCCGCAAUGCGCGAAAGCGUGACGGGGCUACCCCGAGUGCCGUCCGCUGAGGAUGGCUUUUCCCGGGUGUAAUGAGCCGGGGGAAUAAGGAGAGGGCAAGACUGGUGUCAGCCGCCGCGGUAAUACCAGCUCUCCGAGUGGUAGGGACAAUUAUUGGGCUUAAAGCGUCCGUAGCCGGCUUGGCAAGUCUCCUGUUAAAUUCAGCGACUUAAUCGUUGAGCCGCGGGAGAUACUACUAGGCUAGGAGGCGGGAGAGGCCGACGGUAUUCCCGGGGUAGGGGUGAAAUCCUAUAAUCCCGGGAGGACCACCAGUGGCGAAGGCUGUCGGCUAGAACGCGCUCGACGGUGAGGGACGAAAGCUGGGGGAGCGAACCGGAUUAGAUACCCGGGUAGUCCCAGCCGUAAACGAUGCGGGCUAGGUGUUGAGGUGGCUACGAGCCACUUCAGUGCCGCAGGGAAGCCAUUAAGCCCGCCGCCUGGGGAGUACGGCCGCAAGGCUGAAACUUAAAGGAAUUGGCGGGGGAG